rnacentral:lncRNA from 1 species
GAAGUAUCUAAGGUCAUGUGAUUUUGUUUAAAAAUCUGUUUCUUUGGAUGCAUUGAGAUUUAGUUAUUUUUUUAAGAUAGGUUGAGAUUUUGUGAGAUUUUUAUUCUAUUAGGAUAGGUUGAGAUUUUGUUACCAGAUUUUUAUCAUGUUAGAAUAGUUGUUUAAGUUGAUAUAUUAUUUUGAGCUUAUUCAUUUGUUAGGAAAGCUCUUUAAAUAAGCCUAUGUAUGGAACAAUGAAAACAAUGAAGAUGAAUAUUGUUAUAGUCAUUGAGAUGUGUUCUCUAAAUUCCUUCGCAUUUAUGCGUCGACCGGAGUGAAUCCGUGGAGAGCGAGUCCCUUUAUCUUUUUUUUUUUCUCCGCUGACUGCAUUCGUCGUCGCCAUCGUCAUCCACCAUCGACGUCAUCUCCACCAGUCUUGCCACGCCACUACCAAUUGUUGCGCUCGAGCCACCUCCCGAUCAUUUCGACGUCACUAUCAAACCGAUGCCAUAUAGCUUGUCCACCGGACUCCUAUCUCUCAAAUAACCACCCAUUGCUUUGUGUCCAUAGAAGGUGCCCAAGGAGAGGCUUGGAUCCGAUUGAUUAAGAACGGGCAGUUCUAUUUUGUUUGGAGUUACUAAUAUCGCCUGCGGAGCAUUGAAAGGUUAGAUUGACCAUCCCUAAUUUUAGUUUUGCGUCAUCUAUCGGCCCCUUCUUUGUUUUUUUUUUUUCUAGAAGUAUUUUUUUUUUCCUUUUUGGCGAGUCCAGAUUGUGGGUCCCACUGUGUUGCAUUUGAGUUGCAUUAAAGAACCCUUUAAUAAUAGGAUUUGAUUGCAUGCAAUAUUUCAUAUUUACAUUCAUCCUACAUCAAAUUUGGUAUCAGAACCCUAGGUUAAUGAAUGAACCUUAGAAGUGGCAAGAUUUAUCAACCUUUACCGAUGUCCUCAGACCCCACAAAAAUGGAACAAAUUUUACAGCAAUUAGCCGCUUUGAACGCUAAACUAGACGACAUAGGGAACCGUGUUACCAACCUAGAAACGAAUCCUGAUAAGGUCACAACACAAAACAAUGACACUACAGGAGUAGAACAAGAGGGAUCUGCUGCACACACUGCACAACCACGUGAUAUUAACGUUCGAAAUGUCUUUCAACAAAUGCCCCCAAGAUUCAAUCCUCUUUUACAAGGAAAUGAAAAUUUUAACUUUCAAGAUGACAUCACAUAAAAGGUUAAAAUUGAUGCACCAAGUGUUGACGAAAAACUUGAUUUGAAAUUAUUCACAAACUGGCUCGUCGACAUGGACCAGUACUUCAACUGGUAUGAAAUGUCUGAUAGUCAACAGGUUCGUUAUGCUAAAAUGAAACUCACCGGCGCCGCCAAGCAAUAUCGGAUUGGCGUUGAAAGACACUUAGAGCAGAUUGGCCAGGAGCCCAUCACUUUGUAGGCAGAGAUGAAGGCUAAACUGAGAGAGAAGUACUUGCCAUCUACGUACAAACAACAAUUGUACGAUCAAUUGAACACUGUAUAGCAAGGUUCUAUGUCAGUUGCUGAUUACAUGGCCAAGUUUGACGAGACAAACGUUCGUUGCGAUAUUCAAGAAGAAGAGGAAUGAAUUGUCUCCUGAUUCCGCCACAGGUUGUGCAAGUUACAGCGCGAAAUUGCGCCGCACAGGGCCGCAACCGUUGAGCAAGCUUUUAAACUCGCUUAGAAUAUGAGAAAUAUUUAAAAACACCAGCUCGACAAUUUGUUGGAAAAUUCAAUACGCCUAACGCAAAUCCAAAUUUUACUAAAGCGAAUAAUUUUCAAAAUCAUCAAAAUUCUAAUUCUAUGGGCAAGGGUUUAGCUAUAAACGACACUAAACAAGAAAACAUACAGGGUAGGUGUUAUAACUAUCGCCAUAUAGGUCAUACAUGAUGUAGGACAGAAUAUAGGGUCCUACAUUUUUAGAGGGCUCCAAAAUAUAAUUUAUGAUUUUGAAAGCUUUUUGAAAAUUUGAAAGCUUGUGAAAUAUUUUUUUUAGAAAUUUUCGAAAUUAAAAAAAUAAAAAUUAAAGAAAAUAGAAAAAUUCAAAAAAUAGAAAAAAUUAGAAAAAAUAAUCAGAACUCACUCCUGAACCGAACUCACUCUAGGGCGAAGCAUUCGCGAAGGAAAAAAGACUUCAUUGCCAAAUCAUUUAUCUUCAUUAUAAAUUCAUCCCCAUACAAAGAAGUCUUAUACGUUAUUUAUAUUAUGUUUAACCUUAUCUAUACAUAACCAACUUAGAAUUUAAUCUUAUCCUAAAUAACUAAAUAAAGCAACUUUACCUAGAGAUUAACAAAAAAAUGAAAAUUAAAAAUAAAUACGAUUGAAACAAAUAAGAGGAUAGCUAAAAAUCCUCAUUUAACUAACGAAAAAAUAUUCUCAACUAAUCUAAUCUAAUUUUAAAAACGAUAAACAAAAUCGGUUUAAUCCGAUCAAAAUAGGUUCAAGCUUGUUCUGCAUCAUUACGCUUAUGAAUGCCCCAAGUGGAACAUGUUUGUUCAGCCAGAUGGCGAUGAGUUGGAGAACUUAGAGGACGUCGCACACACAAUCGAUGAAAUUCCUAGUGAUGAAGAUAUGUUGAGAUCGAACGAGGAGUUUGAAGAAAACGUCACCUUACAAGUCAUGCAUUGUAUUUUGACCCAACCUAGGAAAGAGAAUGAUUGGAGGUGCACUUCCAUAUUUCACACCUAUACGAAAUGUAGAGACAAGAGUUGCAAGGUCAUCAUUGAUGGUGGUAGUUGCAUUAAUAUAAUAUCAGAAGCUGUCGUAGGUCGUUUAAACCUGAAAACAGAGCCUCACCCUAACCCUUAUAGUGUUGCGUGAGUAGACAAGACCAUUAUGCCGGUAAAACGACAUUGUUUGGUUCCACUUCAUUUUGCUACCUACUCCGACCAGAUUUGGUGCAAUGUCCUCCCUAUAGAUGUCGCUCAUGUUCUUUUAGGAAGAUCAUGGCUAUAUGAUAUGUCUGUCGUUCACCACGGAUUAUCCAAUACCCAUGUUUUUGCUCACAAUGGCAAGAAAAUUGUUUUGAGCCCAACAAACCCUUCUUCACAAAAAUUUUCAUCAAAAAACUCGAAUCCUACCAAAGAUUUUAAAAAUCCACCAUUAGAGAUUGAGAAAACAAAACCCCUUCAUAUUUUAAACAAAAAAAAGUUUUGUAGAGAAAUUGAUUCAAAAAUUGUGUACGCUUUAAUUGUAAAGGAGACUGCUCAAUUGACUAAUUCUUUUGAAACCCCUUUAGUAAUUAAGGAACUCCUUGCCGAAUUUAGUGAAGUCGCACCAAAAGAAUUACCUGAUAAACUUACCCCACUUAAAGACAAACAACAUGAUGUAGAUAUGGUCCCAGGGUCAUGCUUACCUUACCGCAUUAUAGAAUGAACCCUAAGGAACACGCUGAACUAAAGCGCAAAGUAGGAGAGUUGAUUAAGAAGGGCUUUGUACGAAGAGCAUGAGUCCCUACGCAAUACCGGCACUUCUUACACCAAAGAAGGACGGAAGUUUGUGCAUGUGUGUGGACAGUCGUGAUAUUAAUAAAAUCACAGUUAAGUAUCGAUUUCCGAUUCCCCGCUUGGAUGAUAUGUUGGAUAUGAUGGUAGGGGCAACUAUUUUCAGAAAGCUUGAUCUUCGUAGCGGUCACCACCAAAUUCGACUUCGGCCUAGGGAUAAGUGGAAAACUGCCUUUAAAACUAGAGAAGGGUUGUACGAGUGGCUAUUUAUGCCAUUCGGUUUGACAAAUGCCCCGAGUACUUUCAUGAGGGUAAUGAACCAAGUUUUUCGACCAUUUAUUGGCAAGUUUGUGGUAGUAUAUUUUGAUGAUAUUUUAAUCUACAGUCGUGCCGAAAACGAACACUUAAUUCACAUGCGACAGGUUUUUGAAAUCUUGAGUAAGGAAAAAAAAUUAUGCAUAUGAAAAAAUGUUCUUUUAUGCAACCCUGUGUUAUUUUCUUGGGUUUCAUUGUAUCCAAAGAUGGGGCAUUGGCUGACCUAAAAAAGGUCAAGGCUAUUAGAGAAUGGCCAGAACCGAAAAAUAUACAUGAUGCUAGGAGCUUUCAUGGCCUAGCAACUUUUUAUCGACGAUUCAUUACAGGUUUAGUACUAUAAUGGCCCCGAUUACAAAUUGUUUAAAGAAUGGUGAAUUCAAAUGGACAAAAUCGACCACAAAAGCUUUUCAAGAAAUUAAGGAAAUGAUGACAAAGGCCCUCUGUUUUGAAAUUACCAAAUUUUGAAAAGAUUUUUGAAGUUUCUUGUAAUGCCUCUGGGGUGGGAAUUUGUGGAAUAUUAACCCAAGAAGGUCAUCCCAUAGCUUAUUUUAGCGAAAAAUUAAAUAAGGCUAAACAAAAAUAUUCCACUUACGACAAAAAAAUUAUACGUUGUGGUUCAAACCCUGAGAUAUUGGCGACAUUAUUUGUUACCAAAAGAAUGUGUUUUAUUUUCUAAUCACCAACCUCCCAGUUACUUUUAACUCACAAAAACAUUUAAAUUUUCGACACGCAAAGUGUAUUGAGUUUAUUCAAGAAUAUACUUUCACUUUGAAACAUCGAGCCGGGGUAGAUAAUAAAGUUGCUGAUGCAUUAAGUCGAAUCGUAACAACCUUGCAUAAAGUUGGAGGGAGUGUAAUCAGGUUCGACAGUAUUAAGAGAGAAUAUUCCUCAUGUCCGGAUUUUAGCAAAAUCUACACCUUAGCUUUAGAGAACAAAUCCGCCGACCCAGAUUUUGUCAUUCGAGAUGGCUAUCUAUUUCGCGGUAGUCAUUUAUGUAUUCCGCAAGGCUCGUUGCAUGAUUUCAUUGUUUGGGAAUUACAUACAGGAGGUUUAGUCAGACAUUUUGGUCGAGACAAAACCAUCUCUAUGGUUAAGGACAAGGUUUAAAGUGUUGGGGCACGGGGGCGUGCCGUUGUCUGCCUGGCACGGUACGGCACCGGCACGCUUCCAUGCCGACACAUGGUACGCUUGCAUGCCGAUGGAUACGCACGACCUCCUACCAGCACGCUUUGGCACGGACUUAUUUCAAUUUUUUUUUGUUCCAAUAAGCUCUUAUAAUGUUAUUUUGAAAGAAUUAAUCAAAUAAUUAUGAAUAUAUGCUAUGUAUAGCUUACUAUACUCAUCAAUUAACAUAUUUGUAAGCUUUUUUGUAUGUAAAGUACAAUUAUACCUGAUGCAGAAUAAAAAUUUUUACAGGUUAGAAUUUUUAAAAUACAAAGACAUCUUUUUUUUCUUUUUUUCUUUUGACCAUAUUAUAGUUUUUCUUUUAUACAAUACAAAAAAAAUAAUUUUACAUUUUUUUGAAAAAAUUAUUUUAAAAAGUAUUUGAAAAAAUUUAUUUUUUUAAUUAUUUUUUUCAAAAAAUUAGUAGGUCUAUCAAAAAAAUUAAGCAAUAAAUUAUAUGACAAAUAAAUUAAAUAAAUUUAAGUAUCAAUUGAUUUAAUUUAGCUUUUAAUCUUAUCAGUAUUUUCAAUCUUCUAGCGCAAAAAUAAAAUUUAUGUUUGAUGUGGCUUAAAAUUUGUUUAUUGAGUUCGAUUUUGUUCCCUUAAUUCGCCAAAAAUUUCGUGGUGCGACAAAUUUUGAUAAAAUAAUCUGUGACUAAAAAAUAAAUAUCUGUGGUGGAAGCGGAGGGCUCGGACAAAUCUUUUGUCCGUAUAUUGAUAAAUAAAAAAAAUUAAAUUAUAAAUUUUUUGACUUAUCUAAUAAGUAAAUUUUCGAUUUGCAAUAUCUUUGGGGAGGUGUGGAGUACCCAGAAUGCUUUGGAUAUCCCAAAGAACAAAACAAAGAAAAAAAAAUAAGAAAAAAAAAUUUAAAAAAAAGCACAGUGCUAGCACAGCACUGUAACGUGGCACGCUGCACCGUGCCGCUCUGUCUCGUGCGGCACGGCGCUGCGUGCCGCGGCACGAAGGAGGGUCCGAGACCCCCCCUUACCGUGCCACCUUCAUGCGGCACGGAGCAGCAAUUUAAACCUUGGUUAAGGAUCGAUUCUUUUAGCCGAACCUCAAGCGAGAUGUUGCUCACAUCGUGGCACGAUGUGGGACGUGUCAAAAGGCUAGAGGCGGCCGAAAGAAUGAAGGAUUAUACACACCUUUACCCGUACCACAUUCUCCUUAGCAAGACCUAAGCAUGGAUUUUGUUUUGGGUCUACCAAAAACUAUUAGAAAACAUGAUUCGAUCCUUAUCGUAGUUGACCGCUUUUCUAAAAUGGCACACUUCAUUCCUUGUCGCAAAACAUCUUAUGCUACUCAUGUAGCGAAACUUUUUGUCGUUGAAAUUGCACGACUUCAUGGGUUACCAAAAUCAAUCGUGACUGAUAAGGAUGCUCGCUUCGUUAGUUAUUUUUGGAAAACAUUAUGGAAAAUUAUAAGUACAAAAUUGCUUUUCUCGUCUUCACAUCACCCGCAAACUAACAGUCAAACGGAGGUAGUCAAUAGGAGUUUGGGAAACCUACUUCAAUGUCAAGUUGGUGAGAAUGUUAAGAAUUGGGAUCUCAUCUUACCACAAGCUGAAUUCGCAUAUAAUAGCUCAAUUAAUCGAACAACCGGAAUGAGCCCAUCUAAGAUAGUGACAGGAUAUAAUCCAAACAAAGACCUAGUGAACAUGCAUCUUCAUUUGCACAACAUAUGCGGGACUUACAUUACGAGAUUCGACGAAAAAUAGUUUUAAGUAAUGAUAACUAUAAGAAAGUCGCCGAUAGACACAGGCGCGUUGUUGAAUUUAAUGAAGGAGACUCGAAAGGAGACUCGAUGAUGGUGCGGAUUAGACCCGAAAGGCUUCCGCAUGGUACUAUUAGAAAACUAUAUGCAAGAAAUAUGGGUCCGUUUACAAUUCUUAAGAAAAUUGGUUCUAAUGCUUAUUUAUUGGAUUUACCGUCUAAUAUGAGAAUUAAUCCUACUUUUAAUGUUGAAGACCUCAUCUUAUACCAUCUAGAUACACUAAAUUCAUGUCCCAAGUCCCCACCUCAACUUGUUCCGAGUAUCCCAUUACAGGAAAAGCGAGAUGACAUUGAGGCAAUCCUUGAUGAUCAGAUUGUAUCGACGAGGGAUGACGGAGAGCCCAACUUUUUGGUCAAGUAGUAAUAUCGACCGGAAGAAAACGCAACGUGGAUUUCGCAUGAUGAGCUUCAACGACUAGAUCAAAAUCUAUAUGAGAAGUACAUCUCGAACAAUUCGACGGAGUCGAAUUUCUCGAAGGCGGGGAGAGUUGAUGCGGACCAGGUCCCCUUUCGAGUGUAGGAAUGCCGUCGAUGCUGAAAACGCAACUUGAGCAUGUGGCUCAAUCAAUUCGGAUUGGAUUCGGAUUGAGUCACACUCGUUUGUUUCCAGAAGUAUCUAAGGUCAUGUGAUUUUGUUUAAAAACUUGUUUCUUUGGAUAAGUUGAGAUUUAGUUUAAAAGGAUUGGUUGAGAUUUUAUGAGAUUUUUUUUCUAUUAGAAUAGGUUGAGAUUUUGUUAUCAGAUUUUUAUCAUGUUAGAAUGGUUGUUUAAGUUGAUAUUUUAUUUUAAGCUUAUCCAUUUGGUAGUAAAGCUCUUUAAAUAAGCCUAUGUAUGGAACGAUGAAAACAAUGAAGAUGAAUAUUGUUAUAGUCAUUGAGAUG